rnacentral:sRNA from 1 species
AGGGAAUUUUGCUUCAGCUCUUUGGCGGGACAAGGAAGGAUUUUAGUCACACUGGAAGGGGCAAAUUUCGGGCUGAGAUCAACAUCUUGCUGUGUGGCGACCCUGGUACCAGCAAGUCCCAGCUGCUGCAGUACGUGUACAACCUCGUCCCCAGGGGCCAGUACACGUCUGGGAAGGGCUCCAGUGCAGUUGGCCUCACUGCGUAUGUAAUGAAAGACCCUGAGACAAGGCAGCUGGUCCUGCAGACAGGUGCUCUUGUCCUGAGUGACAACGGCAUCUGCUGUAUCGAUGAGUUCGACAAGAUGAAUGAAAGUACAAGAUCGGUAUUGCAUGAAGUCAUGGAACAGCAGACUCUGUCCAUUGCAAAGGCUGGGAUCAUCUGUCAGCUCAAUGCGCGCACCUCUGUCCUGGCAGCAGCAAAUCCCAUUGAGUCUCAGUGGAAUCCUAAAAAAACAACCAUUGAAAACAUCCAGUUGCCUCAUACUUUAUUAUCAAGGU